AACGGCGAGUGAAGCGGCAACAGCUCAAAUUUGAAAUCUGGCUCUUUCAGAGUCCGAGUUGUAAUUUGCAGAGGGCGCUUUGGCGUUGGCAGCGGUCCAAGUUCCUUGGAACAGGACGUCACAGAGGGUGAGAAUCCCGUACGUGGUCGCUGGCCUUCGCCGUGUAAAGCCCCUUCGACGAGUCGAGUUGUUUGGGAAUGCAGCUCUAAAUGGGAGGUAAAUUUCUUCUAAAGCUAAAUACUGGCCAGAGACCGAUAGCGCACAAGUAGAGUGAUCGAAAGAUGAAAAGCACUUUGGAAAGAGAGUCAAAUAGCACGUGAAAUUGUUGAAAGGGAAGCGCUUGCAGCCAGACUUGCCUGUAGUUGCUCACCCGGGCUUUUGCCCGGUGCACUCUUCUGCGGGCAGGCCAGCAUCAGUUUGGGCGGUUGGAUAAAGGUCUCUGUCAUGUACCUCUCUUCGGGGAGGCCUUAUAGGGGAGACGUCAUGCAACCAGCCUGGACUGAGGUCCGCGCAUUUAUGCUAGGAUGCUGGCGUAAUGGCUGUAAGCGGCCCGUCUUGAAACACGGACCAAGGAGUCUAACAUCUAUGCGAGUGUUUGGGUGUCAAGCCCGAACGCGUAAUGAAAGUGAACGGAGGUGGGACCCCAUUAGGGUGCACCAUCGACCGAUCCUGAUGUCUUCGGAUGGAUUUGAGUAAGAGCAUGGCUGUUGGGACCCGAAAGAUGGUGAACUAUGCUUGAAUAGGGUGAAGCCAGAGGAAACUCUGGUGGAGGCUCGCAGCGGUUCUGACGUGCAAAUCGAUCGUCAAAUUUGGGCAUAGGGG
rnacentral:rRNA from 1 species